rnacentral:lncRNA from 1 species
CCUAUCCUAGGAGUGAAAUGUCGCAACCGACGGCGCUGGUGGCCGGAAAAGAGAAGAGAGGAUCCGGCCGAAACAGAGCAAAACAGGGGUUUACCUUGUUCAUGGAUUUUCCAACGAUCCCGACAGCCGGUGAGGGUCUAAAGCCAUGGGAAGAAAGAGAAGAGGGAGAGGAAGAAAGAUUGAACCCUUACCUAAACUCCGGUGGCCUCUUCGACCUUCGAUUUCCGACGAACACAAGAAAAGGGUGCCGCGGCUUCCACGG